rnacentral:rRNA from 1 species
CCUUCGGGGUUAGUGGCGCACGGGUGCGUAACGCGUGGGAACCUGCCUUUAGGUUCGGAAUAACAGUUAGAAAUGACUGCUAAUACCGGAUAAUGUCUUCGGACCAAAGAUUUAUUGCCUUUAGAUGGGCCCGCGUUGGAUUAGAUAGUUGGUGGGGUAAUGGCCUACCAAGUCGACGAUCCAUAGCUGGUCUGAGAGGAUGAUCAGCCACACUGGGACUGAGACACGGCCCAGACUCCUACGGGAGGCAGCAGUGGGGAAUAUUGGACAAUGGGCGAAAGCCUGAUCCAGCAAUGCCGCGUGAGUGAUGAAGGCCUUAGGGUUGUAAAGCUCUUUUACCAGGGAUGAUAAUGACAGUACCUGGAGAAUAAGCUCCGGCUAACUCCGUGCCAGCAGCCGCGGUAAUACGGAGGGAGCUAGCGUUGUUCGGAAUUACUGGGCGUAAAGCGCACGUAGGCGGCUUUUCAAGUCAGGGGUGAAAUCCCGGGGCUCAACCCCGGAACUGCCCUUGAAACUGGAUGGCUAGAAUACUGGAGAGGUGAGUGGAAUUCCGAGUGUAGAGGUGAAAUUCGUAGAUAUUCGGAAGAACACCAGUGGCGAAAGGCGACUCACUG